rnacentral:rRNA from 1 species
CCUGAUGCAGCGACGCCGCGUGGAGGAAGAAGGUCUUCGGAUUGUAAACUCCUGUUGUUGAGGAAGAUAAUGACGGUACUCAACAAGGAAGUGACGGCUAACUACGUGCCAGCAGCCGCGGUAAAACGUAGGUCACAAGCGUUGUCCGGAAUUACUGGGUGUAAAGGGAGCGCAGGCGGGAAGACAAGUUGGAAGUGAAAUCCAUGGGCUCAACCCAUGAACUGCUUUCAAAACUGUUUUUCUUGAGUAGUGCAGAGGUAGGCGGAAUUCCCGGUGUAGCGGUGGAAUGCGUAGAUAUCGGGAGGAACACCAGUGGCGAAGGCGGCCUACUGGGCACCAACUGACGCUGAGGCUCGAAAGUGUGGGUAGCAAACAGGAUUAGAUACCCUGGUAGUCCACACUGUAAACGAUGAUUACUAGGUGUUGGAGGAUUGACCCCUUCAGUGCCGCAGUUAACACAAUAAGUAAUCCACCUGGGGAGUACGACCGCAAGGUUGAAACUCAAAGGAAAUUGACGGA